ensembl:lncRNA
UGCACUUCAUGUAGCACUAUUUGCUUCUGUGUCUUAUAAUGUUGCAUGUACCCUCUCUCAGGGCGCCAACCGUACAACAGAGGAGGCAGAACGUGAGAGGAGAGAGCGAGAUGAGCGGAUGAGGCACAGCAGGAAUCCUGCAGCUCGUGGUAUCCCAGCAGCCUCAGGCAGACCUCGCCCCACACAGGAGGGAGCUCCUCCCACCCCCCUCACACCCACCUCUCACACAGGUAAACAGUCUUUCACUUGCCUCUGCCACUUCCCAAGUACUUGAAACACUGUAAGGAGUCAUCUCAUCUCACAGCGAACACAUCCUCACCGAGACCGGUCACUGGCAUGGAGCGCGAACGUAAGGUCAGCAUGCGGCUUCAUCGUGGCGCCCCAGUGAACGUGUCGUCCUCGGACCUGACGGGGCGUCAAGACACUUCCCGCAUGUCCACAUCACAGAAUAGCAUUCCCUUCGAACACCACGGCAAGUAGUUGAUCGUCACAUCCUUGUGUGAAGGCAAAUGCACCAGAUUGUCUCCAUGUCCCAGAAGCCUCCACUUUGCAAUAUGGAGCAGGAUGGGCAACCUAACUACACAUGGCUGAUUGACAGCUCUCCACCAUCAGCUAAUAGAUCGGCCGUCAGUGUCUCUCUUCUAUUGACCAAACCAAAAUGGUGUAGAACCAACCCGACCUCUUUGCUUACAGGCUUCCUCUCCUCUUCUUCUCUCUCAUGUUCUCAUAUUUUCUCUCCUACACUUUUUAAAUGUUCUCGUGGACAUGAGAGCUACAGCCUGGUGCGAAUUCACACCAUUUGGUUGACCAAUCAGAGACCGGAUCAGCCAGCCACACCAUUGUCAGCUCCUGCGUCCUUCCUUCACAGUUCCACUCACACACAUUCAGUGCUGCACAACUUUCUCUGGUUCAGGCUCCUCGUGAUUGAGGCUAAUGUAUCGUCUGUGUGGUUUAAAUGGGUCUUUUUGUUUCUGUGUACUGAAAUUUCUUUUGUAUUUUAACCUGGGCAACAGACGAGUCCGUCUGGUGGCCUUAUGGGUUCACUUUAAAAUUUUCUAUUUACUCCAUGUAUUUAUUUUUUAAUAUACAUUUUAAUACCCCUCUGUAGCUGGUGAGGUUCCUUUCCCGCAGUGAAGCUGGUGGUAUAGAGUGGACGGACCACAAAGGGGCCAGAAUCCCAGCAUACAUCGCUCAUGGCAAACUGACUCCACAGCGUGGUUUUUACUCAUACAUGUGCUCACAGCGGGACCCUGUGAACUUCACCUGUUUGUCUGCUAUAUUGAUCUCUUUAACUGUACAAUACUGCCUCCCCCUUUAUUGUGUCUUCUGUUUCUAAGCUGUGAAAUAACUAAAAUAAUCGUGUAAAUGUUUCCAUGCGAUUCUUCAGAAAGACUAUGAAAUGACCGCAGAUGGUUUGAGUCUGAAAGUUAUCACCAGUUAUUUUUAUCAACUCUUUCAUAAAGCCACAACAAUGAAGUGCCAGACUUUGGGGGUUUCAUGCAUUCUGAGCAUGAACUUUGACUCUUGAGGAUGUUGUUUUGACUCAUGAAUGGAGAUCAUGCUUAGAAAUGCUUUGUCUCUUUUGAAAAGGUUGGUUAUACUUUGCUGCAAAUUUUUUUUUUCUGAUGGUUCAGAUGGUGUUUUGUAAGUGAAAAGU